GACGAACGCUGGCGGCGUGCUUAACACAUGCAAGUCGAACGAUGAAGUUCCUUCGGGAAUGGAUUAGUGGCGAACGGGUGAGGAACACGUGAGAAACCUGCCUUUCAUUUUGGGAUAACUCCGGGAAACCGGGGCAAAAACCGAAUACUCCGUCUCGGCGGCAUCGCUGAGCCGGGAAAAAAUUUUGAUGAAAGAUGGUCUCGCGGCCUAUCAGCUAGUUGGUGAGGUAAUGGCUCACCAAGGCAACGACGGGUAGCCGGCCUGAGAGGGCGACCGGCCACACUGGGACUGAGACACGGCCCAGACUCCUACGGGAGGCAACAGUGGGGAAUAUUGGGCAAUGGGCGCAAGCCUGACCCAGCGACGCCGCGUGAGGGAUGAAGGCCUUCGGGUUGUAAACCUCUUUCAGUAGGGAAGAAGCGAAAGUGACGGUACCUAAAGAAGAAGCACCGGCUAACUAUGUGCCAGCAGCCGCCGUAA
rnacentral:rRNA from 1 species